rnacentral:rRNA from 1 species
UAAAGAAAGCGUAAUAGCUCACUGGUCGAGUCGGCCUGCGCGGAAGAUGUAACGGGGCUAAACCAUGCACCGAAGCUGCGGCAGCGACACUGUGUGUUGUUGGGUAGGGGAGCGUUCUGUAAGCCUGUGAAGGUGGCCUGUGAGGGUUGCUGGAGGUAUCAGAAGUGCGAAUGCUGACAUAAGUAACGAUAAAGCGGGGGAAAAGCCCGCUCGCCGGAAGACCAA